UGCUUAGGGGCUUGUAGCUUCAGCA
rnacentral:piRNA from 1 species